rnacentral:lncRNA from 1 species
AUGUAUUUGUUGAUCAUUUUGAUCUUCUCCUUUGUGAAUUACCUGUUCAUGUCUUUUGUCCACAUUUUUUAUAUAUUCUAUAUAUAUAUUCUUUUUAUAUCUUUCCUCUCUCUCUCUCUCUCUCUCUCUAUAUAUAUAUAUAUACACAUAAUACACCAAUAUUUUGUUAAUUAUAGGUGUAGCAUGUAACUUCUUCAGUCUCUCGUUUUUUUAACUUUUUAAAAGUGAUUCUUGAUGCACAGAAGUUGGAACUCCAUUGCUAAACAAAGACUGUCCCAUGUUAAUAAUUUCUUAAAGGUGUUUAGAAUUUUUCUUACAUAUAUAUAGAUUUAAAAAUACAUUUUAGAAAAAAAAUUUCCAUAGGCAUCCAUUUUUUGGUAAGAUCUAUUACCAUCUUAUAGAAUACCAGUGUUCCAUGGACAGAUUUAGGGAACGCUUCUCUAAGAAAUAGGGGCAGCCAGGAGGCUUUUGAGCAAGGUAGCGAUGUGAUGGGAACAGAGUACAGGAACAGAGAACACCACUUACUGUUUUCUUUUUGUUCUAUGUGGGCAAGUUUGCCUCUGCCAUCUUGACUUUACAGAGUUGUUCAAAAAAUCUCAACUGAUUUACACAAUGGCUAAAUUUAUCAUUCCAUCUGAAGUUCUUGUUUUAUCAAAACAUUUGGCUAGGCUGACAUCACCGUGCAUGCCAAGGAGCUUAACAGGGUCUGGGUAACUUCUUUUUUUUUUUUUUUUUAAUUUUUUUUUUUUAAUGUUUAUUUAUUUUUGAGAGAGACAGAGACAGAAGCAGAAGCAGAAGCAGGCUCCAGGCUCUGAGCUGUCAGCACAGAGCCCGACGCGGGGCUCGAACUCACGAGCUGUGAGAUCAUGACCUGAGCCGAAGUCUGACGCUCAGCCGACUCAGCCACCUAGGCGCCCGGGGUAACUUCUUUUCUAAAAUACUUGAUGGGAAAUCUAUAUGCCUAACUUUGUAUAUGAAAGGUGUAAUGUAGCUGUUAAUAUUCUGGCUAUGCUAAAAUUUUAAUUAUUUUUAAAUAUUUUUUUAUUAUUGAGAUACAGAGAGAGGCUGAGCAUGAGCAGGGGAGGGGCAGAGAGACAGGGAGACACAGAAUCUGAAGCAGGUUCCAGGCUCGGAGCUGUCAGCACAGAGCUCCACAUGGGGCUCGAACUCACAAACUGUGAGAUCAUGA